AGGAAUGCACUACAUGUUUAACCAGAUGCCUUUGGAGCAGUCCAUUGAUUGGCAGGUCUGUUUUUCACCAGACAUUGAUGGCUUUAAUGGUGAAGGUGCCCCUUUGUUCAGAUUUUAUUAACUUGAGCCAGAAGAGGCUUAGCUUUAUCAUAAUAUUCCACAUCAGUUUCAGGGCUUAACCAGUGCAUUUUACAUGACGGUAAAUAACACUGUUGGUCAAAUAAUUCAUUAACACAACAAUAAAAAGAAUAAUAAUAGGCAAAUCUGUGCAUGUGCUUGAAGCUGAACAGAGACGAGUGAAGGGAAGGGAGGGGUAGACAGAGGCUAAUAGAGACAGCUUUGUCAUGUGAUUAGUGGUCUGCUCUGAAGGAAUCUGGCCAAUGACUAAACAGGAGGAGGUGUGGAAAGAUCAGCUAAUGGCUCGGAAUGCGGCAGCUAAAGAGGGAUUGGUUGUCUAGCCAGGAGAACACCUGUAAGACACAGAUGAGCGUACCUGAGCCAACCGUCCUGACCCAGUCAAUAUGCAAUUAUUUCAACUGAAGAUCCACCACUGUCCACAUCAAACGUUCCACAUUCCUUGGGCAGAUUAUCUUAAAUUAUCUUUUAUUAUUUUGGCCUGCAUGGACGAAUUGAACUCGAUCUGGUCCGCACUGUGAUGAAAUUCGAGACAGCUUGAAUGGCAGUGGUAUGCUUGGAGUUUGGAUAAUACUUACCUUUUAUGAAAGGGACAACGGCGGCAGGAGAUUAAUAACUGAACACUGAGUGCCUUCACUGAUACUAUCCCUCUGGUCGUCUUGUAAAAGCCUGUUGAGAGGUUAAAUUAAAUUGCUGUAAUAAAUGUUUGGUUUCAGCGAAGCUGUAUCAUUGAAAAUCAAACAAACACUGACAGGCUUUUGUGCGAUGAGGAUCAGAGAGGGAAAAUGAAUAGGCGUCAAGGGGCGGGGGGGCAUGUAGGGAAGUAUUAUGAACAUUUGAAACAGACUUGUUUUCACUUAAACAUUAAUUAAAUUGGCGCUAGAGGAACAAUUAUAUUGAUGAAUGUUUUUGGAGCUACUGUAAUUAAAUUAAUCCAUUUAAUUAACAAAUUAUAUUGAAUUUUUCCCCAGAGAGCAACAUUAGACUUGUGUUCUCUCUUACAAACAAGCAAAAAUAACGUUGAGGAAACGAUUGCAAAGAUCAGAAGGAAAUGAAACCGUGUCAAAUAAAAUACACA
ensembl:lncRNA